AAUAACAUCACUUGAGAUUUUACUGAAUUUAGAAAGAGUGAAUAACUAGACGUACCUUCCUGGUACGCUUCGGCAGCAAAUCAGGCUCGUUUGUUAUCGCCAGGGGUGUAUUGGCUCGACUGCGUGCCAAAAUGGUACGAUUAGGUGAGAACUGGAUGAAAUAUAUAUUAGAUCAUGCAAGAAAGAACACGUGGAUGAUUGUCGCGAGCGCUGGCGCUGGCAAGAAGAGCGAGAGUUUUUCAACAGGCUGUAUUUUAGUGCAAAGCAAAAAGGCAAAAAAGGUUAUGAACUUCAGUGCCUUCAGAGGAUGAAGUCCAACAUCAUAUCACAAUCUGCUGCUUCAAUUAAACAAUGGUCGAAAGUAAAAGUGAGGAUUCUGUUACAACUGCAAAGAGAGCUGAGGAAAAGGAAAGUGGAAAGGGAGCAUGCCUGUAUGUGUCCUCAGCAAAAAGUUCAGAUUCAACAACAAUCAUCAUCAAGAAGCUGGAGACCAUUAGGAUUUACUGUUAACAUUAGGAAUCAAGCAUUGCAUCAGCUUCACAGUUAUGUGCCUCCAUGAGGAUGGCUCUUAUUGUGUUGGAAGACUGUGAAGAAAACAAUUUCAUUGAGACUAUCAACACUCACCAUCACUGAUAUGACCUCAACUUCAAGUUGAAAAUUGUUGCCAAAGCUGGGGCAGUCAACAACAAUCGUGAAAUUGCCCAUGAAUAUGGCAUUUCAGAAUUCAUGGUGAGAAAAUGAUGCAACCAGCAACAUGUCCUGUUUUCUGGUGGGCUGCUGAUGACAACAAAGUGUGCAUCCUUGCAACACUACAAACCAAAAGACCUGAGUUGGAUUUCAUGUUACC